CAGGCAGAUCACCCGAGGUCAGGAGUUGAAGACCAGUCUGCCCACCAAUAUGAUGAAACCCCGUCUCUACUAAAAAUACAAACAUUAGCCGGGUGUGGUGCACAUCUGUAAUCCCAGCUACUUGGGUGGCUGAAGCAUGAGAAUUGCUUGAACCCAGGAGGCAGAGGUUUUGCCAUGUUGGCCAGGCUGGUCUCGAACUCCUGGCCUUCCAAAGUGCUGGGAUUACAGGAGCGAGCCACCGCGCCCGGCCUAUUAGAUUGGCUCUUUAUCCCUGCUGAACAUCUCUAGUUCUUCUUCGACUCACUUUGAAUCCUGGAAGCACCACUACAUUAAAUGUCUCUUCAUACUAAUAAGAAUUUUCGUCCAAAUCGCGCAAUCACCUCCAGGGCCAGGAAAGGGGACCCCCGGUCGGGAGUGCGGACUGGGCGUGGUCACUGACCCCGAGCGUCCCCUCCUUCUGGCUGACACGCGGCUGCAGACGCAGGAGCCUCCUGCUGGCGACUGGAGUGUC
rnacentral:lncRNA from 10 species